rnacentral:rRNA from 1 species
UACGUAGGGGGCAAGCGUUAUCCGGAUUUACUGGGUGUAAAGGGAGCGUAGACGGCAGCGCAAGUCUGGAGUGAAAUGCCGGGGCUCAACCCCGGAAUUGCUUUGGAAACUGUGCAGCUAGAGUGCGGGAGAGGUAAGCGGAAUUCCUAGUGUAGCGGUGAAAUGCGUAGAUAUUAGGAGGAACACCAGUGGCGAAGGCGGCUUACUGGACCGUAACUGACGUUGAGGCUCGAAAGCGUGGGGAGCGAACAGG